rnacentral:rRNA from 1 species
UACCAUGGUUUUAACGGGUAACGGGGAAUUAGGGUUCGAUUCCGGAGAGGGAGCCUGAGAAACGGCUACCACAUCCAAGGAAGGCAGCAGGCGCGCAAAUUACCCAAUCCCGACACGGGGAGGUAGUGACAAUAAAUAACAAUAUGGGGCUCUUACGAGUCUUGUAAUUGGAAUGAGUACAAUUUAAAUCUCUUAACGAGGAACAAUUGGAGGGCAAGUCUGGUGCCAGCAGCCGCGGUAAUUCCAGCUCCAAUAGCGUAUAUUAAAGUUGUUGCAGUUAAAAAGCUCGUAGUUGAAUUUCGGGAUUUAUCCGUCGGUCGGGCUUUUGGGUCUGUACUGGCGUGAUGGAUUCCUACCUUCUGAAUAACCGGCAUGUCAUUAAUUUGGUGCGCCGGGGAAGCAGGACUGUUACCUUGAAAAAAUUAGAGUGCUUAAAGCAGGCUUAUGCCUGAAUACAUUAGCAUAGAAUAAUGAAAUAGGACGGCAUGGUUCUAUUUUGUUGGUUUCUAGGAUCACCGUAAUGAUUAAUAGGGAUAGUUGGGGGCAUUAGUAUUCAAUUGUCAGAGGUGAAAUUCUUGGAUUUAUUGAAGACUAACUUCUGCGAAAGCAUUUGCCAAGGAUGUUUUCAUUAAUCAAGAACGAAAGUUAGGGGAUCGAAGACGAUCAGAUACCGUCGUAGUCUUAACCAUAAACUAUGCCGACUAGGAAUCGGACGAUGUUAAUUUUUUAAUGACUCGUUCGGCGCCUUACGGGAAACCAAAGUGUUU